AUGUGGAAAAGGACAAGGAUAAGGGCUUUGUUUAGUGCCAUGGUGCCUGUUACAGACCUUGGGGCAUUGGGCUCUCUGUCCAGCUCUCUGUUGGGUAUGAUAAGCUGCAGAAUAGAGGUCACUGGGUCAUAGCUGGCCACUGCUUUGGGGCAGAGACACUAUCUCCAUCCAGUCCCCAGGAGGCUUUUAACGGGGUGCUUCCUCCUGUGAAAUGUCCCCUCAACCAGCAUGCAGCUCACAUUUGCUGUGCCACCUCACAGUGACAGCUCACACAGCCAGAUCUUCACUAUGGCAACAGGCAAAGCUGCUGAUGUGGAUGGCAGAUGGCUGUGGCAGUGGUUGGGGAGCUGGCUGCGUAGAGGAACAGUGUCAUCAGGUCAUCACACUUAAGGGGGAAGAGAUGAACAAAGACACCUUCAGAGGAGAGAAGCCAAAACCAGAAGGUAAUCAGAAAUGAGGUCAACAGGAUGAAUCCCACUGUUACGUUGCUAGAGCCCUUCUGCUGUGGUGUUAAGAUGUGCCCCUGGAAUUUUAAAUUUGGUAAAACCCUGGAAACUGAAGAUAAAAAAGAGAAGACCAGCUCUGCAUGGUGAUGUCUAAUGGAAAAAUGAAGAAGUACCUGACAAGUGUCUGUAUGGGGGUUUGGGAGCCAAAAUCUCCCCAGCACCUCCUGUCCUAAUACUGUGUUCCGCCCUUUGAUUUUUCUAAGGCUCAUGCUCAUGAACUCAAACAAUAAAAUAAUUGUGAG
rnacentral:lncRNA from 1 species